rnacentral:tRNA from 1 species
GGAGGAGUGGCUGAGCUGGUUUAAGGCACCUGACUUGAAAUCAGACGCAGGCUUACGCUUGCCGGGGGUUCGAAUCCCUCCUCCUCCGCCA